rnacentral:piRNA from 1 species
UGGCCCAAGGGACUGCCACGCUGUGCA